GCAAACGACGGGCGAGACGCGGCGGUAUAACGGAGGGGGCGAGCGUUGGCCGGAUUGUCAGGGUGUAAAGGGCGCGUAGGCGGAUUAGUAAGUCAGGGGUUAAAGCGUGCGGCGUAACUGCAUUGAUGCCAUUGAUACUAUUAGUCUAGAGUUCAGGAGGGAGAGGUGGAAUUCCUGGUGUAGUAGUGAAAUACGCAGAUAUCAGGAAGAAUACCGGAAGCGAAGGCGAGCUCUUGGGCUGAUACUGACGCUGAGGCGCGAAAGUGUGGGGAUCAAACAGGAUUAGAUACCCCAGUAGUC
rnacentral:rRNA from 1 species